GAUGAACGCUGGCGGCGUGCCUAAUACAUGCAAGUCGAGCGAACGGACGAGAAGCUUGCUUUUCUGAUGUUAGCGGCGGACGGGUGAGUAACACGUGGAUAACCUACCUAUAAGACUGGGAUAACUUCGGGAAACCGGAGCUAAUACCGGAUAAUAUUUUGAACCGCAUGGUUCAAAAGUGAAAGACGGUCUUGCUGUCACUUAUAGAUGGACCCGCGCUGCAUUAGCUAGUUGGUAAGGUAACGGCUUACCAAGGCAACGAUGCAUAGCCGACCUGAGAGGGUGAUCGGCCACACGGGAACUGAGACACGGUCCAGACUCCUACGGGAGGCAGCAGUAGGGAAUCUUCCGCAAUGGGCGAAAGCCUGACGGAGCAACGCCGCGUGAGUGAUGAAGGUCUUCGGAUCGUAAAACUCUGUUAUUAGGGAAGAACAUAUGUGUAAGUAACUGUGCACAUCUUGACGGUACCUAAUCAGAAAGCCACGGCUAACUACGUG
rnacentral:rRNA from 1 species